rnacentral:piRNA from 1 species
UAGUCUGUGUGGUGUUAUACAUCCAU